AGAGUGAACGCUGGCGGUAGGCCUAACACAUGCAAGUCGAACGGCAGCACAGUAGGAGCUUGCUCUUACGGGUGGCGAGUGGCGGACGGGUGAGGAAUACAUCGGAAUCUACCUUUUGGUGGGGGAUAACGUAGGGAAACUUACGCUAAUACCGCAUACGCCCUUCGGGGGAAAGCCGGGGACCAGCAAUGGCCUGGUGCUGAUAGAUGAGCCGAUGUCGGAUUAGCUAGUUGGUGAGGUAAUGGCUCACCAAGGCGACGAUCCGUAGCUGGUCUGAGAGGAUGAUCAGCCACACUGGAACUG
rnacentral:rRNA from 1 species